rnacentral:rRNA from 1 species
UGGAAGCGAUUGGAACCUUUUGGAAUCUAAUACGUGAAUCUCUUAUAACAUCAAGCCCCUAAUUCUUUCACUCUUUAACAGGAGGGAAGAGUUUGGGUAAGGCUAUAGAUGUAAGGGACGAGAAUCGUAUUGGAGAGGUCAGCAUCAGUUACGAAGGAAAGAUUAGGGGUGCAGAAGGUAGGUUCCUCGUGGGCUGCUUUAUAGAUGCACCAUUUAAUACACUUUCCUUUGUGACUGACGUGUACUUAUUGCAUGGAAUUUUCGGGCUACACUCUCUUCUGAGAGUACUCGAGUUCUGUGAUGCUGGCUGAAAC